UGGGAGAGCGGAGGGAGGCGAGCUCGCAAAGAUGGAGGAGCGGAGGAAAAGGAGGCGGUGGCUGUGGCUAUGAAGGGCUGCGGCGGGCGGCUCUAGCACGGACGGGGAGGGGGGGACGCGAUCUGGGGCCGGGCCCGGGCCUGGGCAUUGCAGCGGGGCCCUCCUGUGCGCGGGCAUCGGCCAGCGGGGGGGCAGGAGGGCGCCAGCAGGACCCCGCAGCCUCUUGCAGGGUCCCGUGGAAGGAUUUGCUCUCUUGCCUCAAAGGAUGUCCCAGCUGUGUUGGCCGAACAGCAUCUGACCACCUCUGCCCCACUCCCCACGAGAACACCGCUGGAGGCCUAGCUCUGAGAACAGCUCCUUCCUGAUCUAUCGGCAAGCAGCCGCCUACCAACCAGGACAACAUGAACUCCAAGAACGAGUCAGCUACCAAACAACUGGCCAAAACAUCUGGGGCAUCAUCUGGGUGACCAUCCAUCAGCAGAUACAACUGGGUAACAGCACUGUACUGAUGACAUCCUAGUCCAAACC